rnacentral:rRNA from 1 species
GACGAACGCUGGCGGCGUGCUUAACACAUGCAAGUCGAACGGAAGGGCCCUGCUUUUGUGGUGUGCUCGAGUGGCGAACGGGUGAGUAACACGUGAGUAACCUGCCCUUGACUUUGGGAUAACUUCAGGAAACUGGGGCUAAUACCGGAUAGGAGCUCCUGCUGCAUGGUGGGGGUUGGAAAGUUUCGGCGGUUGGGGAUGGACUCGCGGCUUAUCAGCUUGUUGGUGGGGUAGUGGCUUACCAAGGCUUUGACGGGUAGCCGGCCUGAGAGGGUGACCGGCCACAUUGGGACUGAGAUACGGCCCAGACUCCUACGGGAGGCAGCAGUGGGGAAUAUUGCACAAUGGGCGGAAGCCUGAUGCAGCAACGCCGCGUGCGGGAUGACGGCCUUCGGGUUGUAAACCGCUUUCGCCUGUGACGAAGCGUGAGUGACGGUAAUGGGUAAAGAAGCACCGGCUAACUACGUG